AGAAGAAAUGCUUUCAGUUUUUUUUUUCUCCAUUGAGUAUGACGUUGGCUUUGGGUUUUUCAGAUAUCACAUUUUAUAAAGUUGAAGCAAAUUCCUUCUAUCCCUAGUUUCUCCAGUGUUGUAAGAUGAAUGGGUGCUUGAUUUUGUCAGGGCUUUUUCUGCAUCUAUUGAGAUGAUCAUGUGGUUCUUGUCCUUACUUCUAUUUCUGUAGUGAGUUACAUUUAUUCAUUUCCAUAUGUUGAGCCAACCUUGCAUCUCUGGGAUGAAACCCACUUGAUCAUGUUGCACUAUCUUCCUAAUAGGUUUUGAAAGCUGUUUGCUAAUACCUUUUUAAAGAUUUUGGCAUCUAUGUUCAUUAGGGAUGUAGGUUUGUAGUGUUCUUUCUUUGAUGUGCCUGUGUAUGGUUUUGGCCUCAGGGUUAUACAUUAUAGAAUGUACUUGGGAGUGUUCCCUUCCUUUCCGUCACAUGGAAUAAUUUGAGGAAGAUGGGUGUUAGUUCUUCUUUCAAGGUCUGGUAGAACUCAGCUAAGAAUCCAUCUGGUUCUGGGCUUGUCUUUGUUGGAAGGCUUUUAAUUGCUGCUUCCAUCUCAUUGUCAAGCCUCUUUCAUUUCUUGCUUGGAUACUGAAAUGAUCUCAGAACUGGUGUACUUGGAAAAUCAGAAUUGCAUAUUUUUUAAAUUGACAAAAUUAUAUAUAUUUAU
rnacentral:lncRNA from 1 species